ACGCACGCUGGCGGCAUGCCUCACACCUGCCAGUCGAACGCGACCUUCGGGUCUAGUGGCGCACGGGUGCGUAACGCGUGGGAACCUGCCCUUAGGUUCGGAAUAACUCCCCGAAAGGGGUGCUAAUACCGGAUAAUGUCUUCGGACCAAAGAUUUAUCGCCUUUGGAUGGGCCCGCGUUGGAUUAGCUAGUUGGUAGGGUAAAAGCCUACCAAGGCGACGAUCCAUAGCUGGUCUGAGAGGAUGAUCAGCCACACUGGGACUGAGACACGGCCCAGACUCCUACGGGAGGCAGCAGUGGGGAAUAUUGGACAAUGGGCGAAAGCCUGAUCCAGCAAUGCCGCGUGAGUGAUGAAGGCCUUAGGGUUGUAAAGCUCUUUUACCCGGGAUGAUAAUGACAGUACCGGGAGAAUAAGCUCCGGCUAACUCCGUG
rnacentral:rRNA from 1 species